GUAUGUACCUGGCAGAGGAGAUACCAUGAUCACGAAGGUGUUGUUCCCAGGGUGAGGCUUAUCCAUGCAUUCUGGAUGUGCUGACCCCUGCGAUUUCCCCAAAUGUGGGCAAGUUGAGUGCAUAGUUUGUGGUAUGGGGGGACAUUUUGUUUAUCCCCUCG